ensembl:lncRNA
UAGUUCCUAUAUUUAUAUUAGCUGAAUCUUGUAAUGCAUUCGUAAAUUGUGUUCAUUUAUUAGAGACAAAAAGAAGGAAGACAAAGAAAAGAAACGUUCCAAAACACCACCAAAAAGCUAUAGCACAGCCAGACGUUCCAGAAGUGCAAGCAGAGAGAGACGACGACGACGAAGUAGGAGUGGCACGAGAUCUCCUAAAAAGCCUAGGUCACCUAAAAGAAAAUUGUCUCGCUCACCAUCUCCUAGGAGGUAAGAACGUCAGUGCUGUGGGUCUAUGGAUUCUACACUUCAGAAGCUAUCAGUUUCUAUUUAAAAACUCUCCUAAGCUUUUUGUUCCUUUUCAAGAAUUAAAGUGCUCAUGCUGAUAUAUUCCCUUUCUGCUUGAGACUCUGUUGUUAUAAGAUGUGUCUAGGAUCGGGCAUUUUAGACCUGUAACCAAAUUACAGUCUUCUUGCCUGUGUCACUAGUGCACAACUUGUAGCUGGCGUUUUGAAAUGGGUCUUUGUUGUUCUUCAUGUCAUGUAAACUUGGGUCAAGCUCACUGUCUGAAGAAAUUUAAACUUACUGCUACACUUAAGGGUGAAACUUCUUGAGUGGUUCCUUUAAAGCAUUUUUUUUUUUUUGAGAAUAUUUUACUGUCAUCCUAGACAUAAAAAGGAGAAGAAGAAAGAUAAAGACAAAGAAAGAAGCAGAGAUGAAAGAGAACGAUCAACAAGCAAGAAGAAGAAAAGUAAAGAUAAGGAAAAAGAUCGGGAAAGAAAAUCAGAGAGUGACAAAGAUGUAAAAGUAUGUUUACAAACUAAUUUACUUUGAUAUUUGGGGUAGUGCUUGUAAUCUAAGAAGUGAUUUUUUGGGGAAGACGUUUACUUUCUUUAUUCUCCUUGGCAAAGCAGGUUACACGGGAUUACGAUGAAGAGGAACAAGGGUAUGACAGCGAGAAAGAGAAAAAAGAGGAGAAGAAGCCAACAGAAGCAAGUUCCCCUAAAGCAAAAGAAUGCUCUGUGGAAAAGGGAACUGGUGAUUCACUAAGAGAAUCCAAAGUGAAUGGGGACGACCAUCAUGAAGAGGACAUGGAUAUGAGUGACUGAGCAUUGCCUCCGUGGGAAUCCAACUGUAUACAUGCAUCAGUGUCAUUCCUUUGUGUGAUUUCUUAAUGCUGUAUUUGUUCAUCUCAAACCUAGAUGUGUACAGCUCUGAGUUAUAAAUGGUUAUAAAGCUCCUGAUAUUGAUAUUAGUUAUUUACAUCCAAAAGCUUUUUAGAAAAUGAUAUGUGAGUAACCAAUUCUUGACAUGGUGAAAUCCGAUUGAGUAACCAAGCAGUUUUACUAUUCUGGUGCUGCUUCAUAACGAAAAUGAAAAGCUGCAUGCAUCUACAGCAGGCAUGGAUUGUUUAUGUUGUAUGAUCUCCUUUAUUAAGUAAGUUCACUUAUAGUAUUUCUAGAAUUUGAUUCAUUGCCGUAAUAGAGCCAUGUAGGGAAUGCACUGAUUGCAUGUUAAUCGUGGCAGGAAUAUCCUAAAUGUCAUUAAAAUCCUCCAACAUGAUAGAUCUACUUAUGGUCUUAUUUGUUGACAUGACAGAUUAACAUUCUUAUAGUUACAUCUGAAAAUGAACAUUUGAAAUAGAUAAUCCUUUAAGCCUUGUGGCUAAAUUUUUGUGGCUUUUGUUUAACUUUGAAAGGUUAUAUAUGCACUAACCUUUUUUGAUGGCUGAUUAGGCUUUAAUUACAGAAACAAGAUUUCAAAUGAAACUGUCUCUGGCAGUGAGUAAAUAGCAUAUUUUGAAGUAGAGUUGUAUACUUUUUCAUAAGGUGUUUGGGAAUUUUUUUUCCUGAAAUAAUUUAUUCCACGUCUACAUCAGUGAAAGCUGCCUAUCCUGAGUCCAUCUGUAAAAACAAGUUCUCUCUCGUCCUGAUCUUCAAUUUCCCACUCUUUUAUUAAUUUGUUUUAAUCUCAGUGUUGGAAAAGGGGGUAGUGCAUUUUAAAUUGACCUUCAUAUGCUUUUAAAAUAAGACAAAUCUACUUGAUAAUGUACUUUUUAUUUGAUCUCAAGUUGUAUAAAACCAAUAAAUUUGUGUUACUGUUACUGCA